GUCGAGAAUCUUUCACAAUGGGGGCAACCCUGAUGGAGCGACGCCGCGUGGAGGAUAAGGUCUUCGGAUUGUAAACUCCUGUCAUGCGUGAACAAGGUUGCUUGGUUAAUACCUGGGCAAAUUGAUGGUAACGCAAGAGGAAGAGACGGCUAACUCUGUGCCAGCAGCCGCGGUAAUACAGAGGUCUCAAGCGUUGUUCGGAAUCACUGGGCGUAAAGGGUGCGUAGGUGGCGUGGUAAGUCAGAUGUGAAAGCCCGGGUCUCAACCUCGGAACUGCAUCCGAUACUGCCAUGCUAGAGUACUGGAGAGGUGACUAGAAUUCUCGGUGUAGCAGUGAAAUGCGUAGAUAUCGAGAGGAAUACCAAAGGCGUAGGCAGGUCACUGGACAGUUACUGACACUGAGGCACGAAGGCCAGGGGAGCGAACGGGAUUAGAAACCCGAGUAGUCC
rnacentral:rRNA from 1 species